UAAAGCAAGAGGUAAACUGCCAUAAAAGUACAUUCUCAACACUUCCAUUUGAAAUUCUAUCCAACCCCCAUCCAUACACCCAGAGGAGGGGCAUCCGGGAUUCAGAGCUCCCAAGGGUCCACGGUCUUACUGCACACAGCAGGGGAAACCAUGGACACAGGGAAAAAACUUCCAUUCAAACCUGGACUCGAAGAUCUGUGCAGCUGCCGCAAUACAACAAAAUUUUAUAAUUUUAUAAUUACAAGGUAUAUUUGUUUGCCAUUGACGUCUGUACAAAUUAAUUUAUUGUCUCUGCCUAGGUACUACUUAGCCUACAUGCUUACUCGAUGUUAGGGUUCAUUCACG